UUUGAUGAUGCAGAAGAGAGAGGGGAGCAGUGUUCUUGAGUAGAUGAGAAGGUUUACGUCUCUUCUGACAGUGCCAAUUGCUGUGGCAAAGUAAGACAAGGUAGAAUCAGAGUCUUUGAUCUUGUGGAAUUGCAGGAGGAGUCAGUCUAGCCACUUCCCUUUCCAGUUGCUGCUGAUACCGAAUCCACAGAGGUGAACAGAUUUCCCUUCCUAAUAAAACAACCACAGAAACAGCAGCUGUAACUGAGGAGAAAGCAGAACUAACAUCUCUUCAAGAAGGGACCCCUUGAUUCAACAGGCAUUAUGCAUUGUCUGAAGGCUGGGAAGGAGAUUAAUAGACUAAGAACCUUGGCUGAUCCUCUGGAGAUAGACAAACUGAAAGAUACCCAACUAUUAUUUUGCUCAUUAAUCUUGAGAAGGACAAGGCUUCGUGACCCUUCCAGUGGUCUUCUGACAAUAGGGCUUUGAAUUAUAUUCUGUUUCAACCUGGGCUUCCCUACAUAUUUUCUAGGUCUCUAAGAAGGAGAAGAGCAAAUAGGGAAUUGUGUUUGUGUUAGCUGGACAAAUAGAAUAGUCCAUGACAGAUAAAAUCAAAAUAGACUACAAAAAUAUUUCUCGAUUCAUCUUUCUACAGUAAUGUGCUAGUUUGAACAUUCAAUAUGACUGUCUACCACAGCAUAAUGAGUUCAGAGGGCACCUCUAAUGACUCGAGUAAAGGGAAACCUGUCAUUUGAAGUUGGUAGCACACCUGAUGGAUGGAGCAUGGAAAUGAAAACUUCCCGUCAUGUUUUUUACAAGGGCACCUGAUGCUUGGAUGAGUUAAAUGGAUCAAGACAGAAGCGCAAAGUUCAUCUUGCACACUUAAAGGCCAUUGCAAGAAUUUUGGAUACUGUUUAAAGAGUUGCUGUAAUAUAUAAUAUAUGUUGUGCUUUUUUUCUCUCUUUCAGAAAGUUCAGUCUUUUAAUAGUCAUGAGUUUCCAAUUCCCAUGUCAAAAUGAAACGUUAGCAUAGAAUAUACAGACAUUUUUAAAGAGUAUUUCUCUUUUUGUUUUUAGUUGGUUAGUUGGCUUAUGAAUUUUAGUGUUUUAGAUUUUUUUGUUAUAGUUUCUUUAGCUUUUCUUGGCCAUAAUACCAUCAGAUAAAAGUCUGUGUACUCACGUCACUAAUUUUCAAGAUUUUUAUUCUCUCGCUGAAAUGAUUUUUGAACAUUUUAC